UCCUAAGUUAUCCCUCCUGCAAUUUUGGUAAGAUGAAACCAAAAACAUGGGUGUCGAAUAAGUAGGUCAGGAUCCAUCUUGCAAACCAAAACAGAGAAUAUUGCCGCUCUCGCCCUUAUUCUUUCCACAAAGUAGACAUGACAUUUUAACUUCUUGAACGUCACAACAGGAAAGGGAAUAGAACAUAUUAACUUUUAAAGAUGCUCUAACUUUGGAUUAUAAGAACCAAAGGAAAGGACAAAGCAUGUGGAAGUCAUUAGAUUUUUUCGAGGAUUUCUCGCCGGUCAAUUCGGGGUCAAUGCAAGAGUCCAAUACGGUAGUAAUGAAGUCGAUCCCUAAUAAAAAAAAUUUAAAUUUUGUUAACAAAUGCCUCUGGGGCAUUUUUUAAGUGUCUUUGAUCAGAGUUAAAUUACCAAGGCAUUCAUCAUGCAAAACGCGACAACCAAGGCAUUAAAAAACUGCAAAUUAAGAAAUUAUAAAUUUUCCUUUGGUAGUUCGUCAACAAGUGCUCUUUUCGCUAAAGUGGUUCAGCUGGUUUUUCCCAAGUAACUACCAUCUAGACGGAUACAUUGUUGGUAGAGUCCUAAAAGAUUCUUCCCUGAGUUUAUAUGUCCAAUCUUCGAGGACAAAAUGAGAUUUCCAACCAAUUGCGGACUUCAUGAAAGAUUGAAGAAAGAUUCAUGGACGUCCGAUUUUUAUUUUAUUUUUUCUAUUCUCGCUUUCUGGGUCAAUGGGUGGAGCAUGCUGCCCGGAAGAAAGGCACUCCUACUGGCAAUUGACGAGGAAGAAAGCACUACUUUUUGAGACUUGCUUUACAUAGAGUCCAUCAAAACUAAAGAAAGAAAUUGCGGGUACCUCUUGCUGUUCGUGUGACGCACGAGGCUCUCCUAUCUAUGAAGUGCCCCGCACGGUACGCGCACAAGGCAUGAGGAUGCACAAUUUUCCCAAGUUCAGCGGCAGGAAAAAGUAGACAGAAAGUUAAGUACCAAAAAUUGGGAGAGAACUACACUAUCAGUGUCAUAAGUUAUGUACGGUGUUCACUUUGAUGCCAAAAUUUUCCGUCGAAUCACUUAAGUGCCAAAAAGUUUGAAAAACAAUCAUUUUGGUGCCAACUCCGAUCAAAUUGACCAUAAAUCCGACGUAAUACUUUUUUAUUAAUUUUUUACGCUGACGUGGCUCACCGAAGAGUAUAGUCAGCAUGUAAACCACAAAAACAACGUCGUUUGGUGUCUCUCCUUCAAUUCAAAACUCUAAACCCUAAAUCUACCGAAUAAUCUCGGCCACCGCCACCCUCUUCAUCCUUUUCUUCUCCCUUGCCGUCCUCUCCGCCGCCACCCAUAGCGCCGCCAAGCACCACCACCUCCUCCACUACCUCGACAAGUUCGGCAACCGUGGCGAGCAGGUCGCCGUCAAUCCCUCCGCCUCCUUCGAGAACCCGUGCCUCCACAACGCCUACGUUGCCCUCCAGGCCCUAAAGCAAGCCAUCCUUUCCGACCCCAACAACUUCACCACCAUGAUCGGCCCCGACGUCUACGUCUCCAGCUACUCCAAUGUCUUCUGCUCCCCCGCCCCAAACGACUCCGACGUCUGCACCGUCACUGGUAUCGAUGGUUUUCCCUCCUCCUCCCCCUUCAACCGCCCACAUCCCUCGCCUCUACCUCCGCUAGUGAUGGGCCAGUCGCCGUCCAUAACGGCCCCCGCACUCAGCGGCCGCGACUCCGACCCCGACCUCAACUUAGCCACUCAACGGCCAAGUCGAAGGCCGUGAUCUCGCUCAAGUGUGAACCUCACGUCGUCAAGCGAUGGCAGCCGAGUGAGCUAGGCCGACAACCAAGCAACGGCGACCAAGUGAGCUAGGUCAAUGGCCAACGAGGAUCGGAACCCUAAUUUCAAUCUCCAAAUUAAAAAAAAAGAAAAAAGAAAAAAAUCCCCGGCGUCAUUUUUGUGAGACCAUCCACUUAGGACGGCAAAACGUCGUCGUUUUCUAAUGUUGUUUCUCAAGCCAUGUCAAUUUUUUUUUUUAAAUAUAAAAGCCAUGUCAUCAUUUUGGCCGGAAUCUCUCGCUGGUGGCACCAAAGUAAUCGUUUUUCUCCAAUUUGAUACUUAAAUGAUCAAAUUAAAACUUUUGGCACUAAAGUGAGUGUCGUACACAACUUAUGGCACUGAUAGUGUACUUCUCCCGAAAAUUAGGAAGAGAAAUUACUCACAGCAUGGUCGGUAAACCGAGAUGAAUCUAAGAAUUCAAUGUCAUUCUUAGUCCCAAAGUACAGUUGAGACGCAUGACUAUACUCGCGUGAUUAUUUUAGAAGAAAACUCGUGUGAUCAUUUUGAUAAGAUAGAAGAUUGAUUGGGAUGGCCCACAGGCAAACACGCGUUCUCAUUCUAUAGCUAAUAAUCAAAUCAUUGAUGUUUAUUGUCAACCGUCAAUCAUAAUCUUUUCUUUCGUAACCAAAUGAUCAAAAGGGUGUAACCCACCGGCGGGCAGCUACGCUGGUAAGGGUCUUGUUCCUCAUCGCUAAAGUCGCAAGUUCAAACCUCCGCGUUGCUAACCCAUCUUAAGUGGGGGGCAUGGUGAUAGGAUCCUAUACUAACCUUUAUACUAACCUUCUUCCAGGUAUAGUGGUGGUCUCCAUUGGGCCAAUCAAGCCGGCAACGGCCAUGAGCACCCAUAAGAUGUAUCAAUCCGGAUCCUGGAUAUAAAAAAAAAUAGAGGGUGCGAUGGGGUCCGUCUCCCACAACCUAACUCCAAAGUCUGAUUUGCCAAAUAACUACAAGGACACUUGUAAGUCAACCCAUUCGAAUCUCCUCCAGUAAAUUUCUUUGUCCGCUUUUUCAGCCCCCCAACGGCAAUUCUUUCAGUCGAUCGGGUUAGUCGCAACUAAUUGGAUGAAGAUUUGCUGAGGAGCAGACGGCCCUUGCCUCCCUCGAAACGUUGAAAUGAUUGGGCCAACUAUCACGGGGGAGAAAAAGACGAGCGUUGACCGGGUAAGUCUUUCUUUUUGUGCCGACGAAGUCAAUAAAGUCGACGUCCUAUGGGGCUCGUGAGGCCGACAUCGGACCAAAUAGAGUGGGGAACACAAUAAGUGAGAGACGACUAAGUUUGAAGACUCGACUUGCAAGCAUAUCACCAACGUGAUUCCGAGCGGACUAUCCACCAGUCGUGGCAAAACUUUAAAUAAAUAGUACCAACCACGCAAGAGAUUAGGUUUUCUAAUAGUAAUGUCUAUAUCACGCACUGAGACCAAAAUGGGCUGUCAACGUCGUAGAGGUGGUAGGGAUGGAAACGAAGACAAAUAUCGUCUGAACUCGACCGUACGAAGAGGACAAAGAUGAGCUGGCCCGCCUGCCACGUGUACCAGACCUGGACCAGGCAACUUCUGAGAAAUUUGGUAUGAUUAUUUCAGAGCUCCAAAACUUAAAUUAUAUCGACAAGGGCCUGUUAGGUCAUCCACCGUGACUCACGAGGGACGAAAUUUCCCGACGACUUCUCUCCCUUAUCUUUUCUUUUUCAUCAUUUUGUCCACAUUCAGAGAGUUCAGUACUUAUAUUGGUCACAACGCACCCGCACACCCCCUGCUUUGUUUAUAGUGUAUCCAUGCAUACGGCUGAACUGUACCUUGUCCUGACUUGAUGACACUUUCGUACCGCGUGCCGAUGUUUACAGCGAUACUCAUCACCAACUCGCGGAUCAACCUCAUCGUUUGCAUUAAAUAAUCGAAUUAGCGAACGGCUGGGGCCUGCAGGCAGACGUAUGACUUGUUGCAAGAAUUGACAGACAAAUCAUUUUAAGGAUUUGUUUGGCAACUUGCUAAACAGUAAAAAUUUCUCCUUUUGUUUCAAGAAAUAUAUUUGAAUCCAUUUGAUAAAUUUUUUAUUCCCGAGAAUAGAUUUAGAGUAAAAUCGAGAAGCAAAAAAAUGUUGAUUCUUUGUUCCUGAGAACAAUUCCAGAAUCAAACGAACUUAUUUUUAUAUUCUCUUCUUUCUUCUUGUUCUUAUUCCCUCUCUUCUUCUUCUUCAACCGCCGCCGCCCACAGCCACUGGUCGCCGGCGACCGGUCCGAUGAGCUCGUUGGAGGCUCGCCAAGUCAGGGCGAGGUCCAGUGAGCUCGCCUAUGGCCAAGCAGGCCUCUCUCGCCACCGGCGAGACUUGCCUGAUCAGGCAAGCUUGGCCUCGCCAACACCAGAGGCUCGCCAAGCCAGGGCGAGAUCCAGCAAGCUCACUGGUGGCCAAGCGAGCCUCCCUUGGCCACCAGCGAGGCUUUGCCUAACCGAGUGAAGCUCGCCCAAACCCAGGGAGGCUCAACCUCGCCUAGAUUUAGCAAGGCCGAGCAUGCCUAGCCAUGACUUGGUCAAGCCUCACCCAACUGCCGGCGAGACUCGAUCGACGAGACACGACCUCGACAAAGGCUGACGAUGCUCCGAUGAGGUCGCCAGCCCUCGUUUGGCCGGUCGCUGAUCAUCCCAAGGCCGACAAUUGGCAACCUUGAAGAAGAAUAAGAGAAAUAAAGGAAAAAAAAAAAAGAAAAGAAGAAAAAAGAAAAAAAGAAAAAAUAAAUAAAAUUAUUUAAAAAUUAAAAGAAAAUGAUUUGAAAUAUAAAUUUUAAGAACGGUGCCAAACGCAAUUCUAUUCCGGGAAUUGAAAUUUUUAACGGUUACCAAACGGCUUAAAAUACUUAUAAAUUGUUCCCAAAAAUAUAAGCGUUACCAAGUACUCACCAAUGGAUAUAAUGCUGAAAGGGGAAGAAACUCUUCAAUUCGAAUAUGAUUCCACCAUGUCUCUCUUGUCCGUCCCCAGAUUCCCUCUUUUGUCCAGGCCUCAAGUAUUUGGGUCCCCCAGAUUCCCUCUUUUGUCCAGGCCUGAAGUAUUUGGGAGCUAUCAGCUCAGAAAGGGCACUAGGCGCGGAUCUGUGAGGUACGGGAGACUAGUUCGAGCUCCCAAAGCUCGACAAUUUGCAGCAGCC
rnacentral:lncRNA from 1 species